rnacentral:rRNA from 1 species
UACGAAGGGGGCUAGCGUUGCUCGGAAUCACUGGGCGUAAAGCGCACGUAGGCGGGUCCUUAAGUCAGGGGUGAAAUCCCGGGGCUCAACUCCGGAACUGCCUUUGAUACUGGGGAUCUUGAGUCCGGAAGAGGUGAGUGGAACUCCGAGUGUAGAGGUGAAAUUCGUAGAUAUUCGGAAGAACACCAGUGGCGAAGGCGGCUCACUGGUCCGGUACUGACGCUGAGGUGCGAAAGCGUGGGGAGCAAACAGG